rnacentral:rRNA from 1 species
UGGGGAAUAUUGGACAAUGGGGGGAACCCUGAUCCAGCCAUGCCGCGUGUGCGAAGAAGGCCUUAUGGUUGUAAAGCACUUUAAGCGAGGAGGAGGCUACUCUAGUUAAUACCUAGGGAUAGCGGACGUUACUCGCAGAAUAAGCACCGGCUAACUCUGUGCCAGCAGCCGCGGUAAUACAGAGGGUGCGAGCGUUAAUCGGAUUUACUGGGCGUAAAGCGUGCGUAGGCGGCUUAUUAAGUCGGAUGUGAAAUCCCCGAGCUUAACUUGGGAAUUGCAUUCGAUACUGGUGAGCUAGAGUAUGGGAGAGGAUGGUAGAAUUCCAGGUGUAGCGGUGAAAUGCGUAGAGAUCUGGAGGAAUACCGAUGGCGAAGGCAGCCAUCUGGCCUAAUACUGACGCUGAGGUACGAAAGCAUGGGGAGCAAAC